UUGGAGUCGGUUAAAGGUUUUGCAAGUUUGAAGUAGACAACAGGAAAUGCCAAUGAGCUUGUGAUUGGCCAGUGAGGGUAUUACGGUAACGGUAUGUAGAUACUGAACGUGAUUGGCUACUGCAGCUUGCGGACUGGAAACCCCCUGAAAGAUCAGAGUUGAAAGAAACGAAAGUUGAGCCUAACUAUUGAUGCUGUCCAGAGAAGUGCGGAGGAAACACCAAAGAGCAGGAAAAGAAUAAGACAAAGUGAGCCUGCUUUUCAAGACACUGUUCCUACUUCAACAGUGAUCCUGCAUCAAGUAAAGCUUAGCAGUGUUUAGCAGCCUUCAACUUGACCACAACGCUGAAGUGAGAGCAGAACAUGGACGUGGUUGUGCGCAAUAACCGCAGAGGACACCGGGAGUUUGCUGUCCAGGCCGAGCACUUGAAACUGCCGGAACUAGGACUGAGACUGAAAGCUCAGGACAUUCACAACAACUACCUCUUCAAAGACAACAUCCCAGAAUACCCAAGGCCAGAGUUCUGGGUUUCCCAGCUCAGACACGACACAGAUGAAUACGGGCUAUUUGGCAUAGCCGUCGAAAGCGAUGGGGGGUUCUGUGCUAGGGACCGAGAAGAGGGGCCAGAGGACCCAGAAGAGGGGCCAGAGGGUUUGGACCUGCUGUGGUGGAGCUUGUCUUUGGGAGCAGAAGAGAUGGCCUCGGCUGAACAACGUCUGCUCCAGACCAGGUACCCUGACAGGACAGAGGAGCAGGCCAGGGAGCAGAAAUCCUUCCUGCAGAGGUUCGCCACCUCACCUGCCUUCCUGGACACCUCUCGGCUGGGCUCCUACCGCUUCACCUUCCCCCUGGAGGAGCUGCUCAAGAGAUACCGGGAACAGCUAUGCGUUGGACACGAGCCAAUCCUGCGUGUUUAUGAGACAGUCCUGUACAAACAGGAGGUGAUGUACUCAGUGCUAGUCCACAGUCACUACAACAACGACCUCUUUGAGAAGUACCCUCUCCUCCAGGACAAUGAUGAUGGAGUCUGUGCUUACAGAGAUGGACAAAUCAUUUGGAGACCCGAGGCCAUGUGUCAGACACACAGCUUGAAAUUGGUGCCAAAGCCCUACCAGAACCAGGAUGUAGCCCACCUGAUCCCUGAUCCACAGAAACACCAGUUCUACGUUUGGGACAACAUUGCUGUAGCGUUCCACAUGGACGGUUCACAGAUGUUGACCUUCGAUAGGUACAAUUUGAGACACCAUCUGAGAUUCUGUGAGCCAGGAACGCCACAAUUUUCCCCCGACUGUGAGUUCACCACAUACGAGGAGGCUAAAGACAUGGUGGACUGCUAUUGGCCUUACUACCCCACCCCCCUCUACUGAUAAACUUACUACCACACCCCCCUGUUCUGCUAAACUUACUACCCCACCCCCCUCUACUGAUAAACUUACUUCCACACCCCCCUGUUCUGCUAAACUUACUACCCCACCCCCCUCUACUGAUAAACUUACUACCACACCCCCUGUUCUGCUAAACUUACUACCACACCCCUUGUUCUGAUUAACUUACUACUACACCCCCUGUUCUGCUAAACUUACUACCCCACCCCCCUCUACUGAUACACUUACUACCACACCCCCUGUUCUGCUAAACUUACUACCCCACCCCCUCUACUGAUAAACUUACUACCACACCCCCUGUUCUGCUAAACUUACUACCCCACCCCCUCUACUGAUAAACUUACUACCACACCCCCUGUUCUGCUAAACUUACUACCCCACCCCCUCUACUGAUAAACUUACUACCACACCCUCUGUUCUAAUAAACUUACUACCACACUCCCCUGUUCUAAUAAACUUACUACCACACCCCUGUUCUAAUAAACUUACUACCACGCCCCUGUUCUAAUAAACUUACUACCACACCCCCUGUUCUAAUAAACUUACUACCACACCCCCUGUUCUAAUAAACUUACUACCACACCCCAGUUCUAAUAAACUUACUACCACACUCCCCUGUUCUAAUAAACUUACUACCACUCCCCCUGUUCUAAUAAACUUACUACCACACCCCCUGUUCUAAUAAACUUACUACCACACCCCCUGUUCUAAUAAACGUACUACCACACCACCCUGUUCUAAUAAACUUACUACCACACCCCCUGUUCUAAUAAACUUACUACCACACUCCCCUGUUCUAAUAAACUUACUACCACUCCCCCUGUUCUAAUAAACUUACUACCACACCCCCUGUUCUAAUAAACUUACUACCACACCCCCUGUUCUAAUAAACUUACUACCACACCCCCUGUUCUAAUAAACUUACUACCACACCCCCUGUUCUAAUAAACUUACUACCACACUCCCCUGUUCUAAUAAACUUACUACCACUCCCCCUGUUCUAAUAAACUUACUACCACACUCCCCAUGUUCUAAUAAACUUACUACCACACCCCCUGUUCUAAUAAACUUACUACCACUCCCCCUGUUCUAAUAAACUUACUACCACUCCCCCUGUUCUAAUAAACUUACUACCACACCCCCUGUUCUAAUAAACUUACUACCACACUCCCCUGUUCUAAUAAACUUACUACCACACCCCUGUUCUAAUAAACUUACUACCACACCCCCUGUUCUAAUAAACUUACUACCACACCCCCUGUUCUAAUAAACUUACUACCACACCCCCUGUUCUAAUAAACUUACUACCACACCCCCUGUUCUAAUAAACUUACUACCACACCCCCUGUUUUAAUAAACUUACUACCACACUCCCCUGUUCUAAUAAACUUACUACCACACCCCCUGUUCUAAUAAACUUACUACCACACCCCCUGUUCUAAUAAACUUACUACCACACUCCCCUGUUCUAAUAAACUUACUACUAGAAUGAUGAUGAUCUACUAGGAUGGCUAUUUCUUGAUUUGUUGUUUGGAUUGUUUUCAUGAUUGUGUAUUUGAAUUGUAUUUGCGAGACAUUCUACUGCACUGUUGGAGCUAGUAACACAAUAUUUUACAUGCACCUGCCAUAACACCUGCAAAUCUGUGUACGUGACCAAUAAACUUUGAUUUGAUGAUGAUUUUGAAGUCAAACGGAAAGGUAAAGUUAAAAUUGUUAUUCUUUCAACAUGCUUCACUGGUUUAAACCCAGUAAGCUACAUGUGUUUGUGUUUUUUUUAGUCAGCAUUAGUACAUUGUCAGGUUUGAGAACAUAUUGCUUUUGUUAGUCAGCAGUAGUAUACUGUUUGUCAGGAUGGAGAACAUAUUGCUUUUGUUAGUCAGCAGUAGUAUACUGUUUGUCAGGAUGGAGAACAUAUUGCAUUUGUUAGUCAGCAGUACUAUAUUGUUUGUCAGGAUUGAGAAAAUAUUGCUUUUGUUAUUUUUGUGCCUUUGCUCUACAAAGAGCUAAAAGGACUCAAGUAUUUUUUGUUAAGUUAGAAUUUUUAAGAAAAUAAAUCUUCUACAUUGGGACUAAACUUUUUAGCCCAGUCUCUCAAUUCAGCCUAUGGCAAUCCUUCAUCACAAUGCUCUUGACAUGACCUGUAAUGCUUUAUUUAAUAUCAACAGACUGACAUGACCACUGCUACUCCUGUCUCUAGUUUCAACCCUUUGUUAUUCAUGAUUGGCAGCCCAGGACAGAAUCGGCAAACAUGGAAUCCUAGGAGCAAAAGAGCACCAAGCUUUCCCCGGUCUCGCCUUCCUUUAAUCCUUCUUCCAAGCCAAGUCAUUCACCCAGAUGGCGAAGCAGGUGGCUCUCCUUCUCAUGCGCCCUGUCCAUGUUCAGUCUCACCUUGAUUGAUAGAAAUAAAUGCAAUUAUAUUUCAUAUUAUUACAAAUACAUUGCUUAUAUAUCUCUUGGAAGGCCAGAAAAUAAAUUAACAGAGGACAAUAAUUUUUACCUGGUCAAAAACCUCCACAUCCUUCUCAGUCCGUGCCUGAAGGUGAUCUUCGAAGGCGUUCUGAUCUGGUUCGACAACUUCCACCACAUCAGGUGGAGUAUUAGUGACCUCAAAGUACGUUAUACAAAAUCAGCAAAAGAAAAA
rnacentral:lncRNA from 1 species